UUCUGAUGAUAGAAAUUAGUCAUGAGGUAAAGUCCGGGCUCCGAUGGACAGGAUGCCGGGUAAUAACCGGGCGGCAAUGGCAGUUGUUUUUCAGGUAACUUUAAAACAUAACCCUUUGCCGACAGAUAGUGCAGCAGAAAUAUUACCGCCCUCAAGGGUAAGGGUGAAAAGGCGGUGUAAGAGACCACCGUGUUCCUGGUAACAGGAGCAGCUUGUAAACCUCAUCCGGAGCAAGUUCAAGUAGCAGUCGGUUGUCCAUGCUAUGGCUGCGGGUAGAAUGCUGAAGGCAUCUGGCAACAGGUGUUUCGGAUAGAUGAUUAUGGGUCAGUUUUCUGAUCACAGAACCCGGCUUACUUCCUGUCUUUU
rnacentral:RNase_P_RNA from 1 species